GGAUGAUGAGAGGAGAUCUCAUGACUCUGCACCCUGGUAACCUCCCCGAUUUCUGUCCUUUCACUGGUGCCAUUUCUAAGGAUUUAUGAGCAGCUUCCAGAAGUACAGAAAAAGAGAGAAGAAGAGAAGAGAAAAUCAGAAUAUAAGUCAUACCGGCUGCGAGCCCAGCUAUAUAAAAAGAGAGUGACCAAUCAACUUCUGGGGAGAAAAGUUCCCUGGGACUGACACAAGUUUAUUUUCCUCAGAGCCUUGGAAUUCUAUUUUAUGAACCUAGAGAAGCAGAAUCCUUACUUUUAUGACUGGGGCCUCCAGUCUGCAUGUAAUCUCCAU
rnacentral:lncRNA from 1 species